rnacentral:rRNA from 1 species
AUACGGAAGGUGCAAGCGUUAAUCGGAAUCACUGGGCGUAAAGCGCUCGUAGGUGGCUUUGUAAGUCAGGUGUGAAAGCCCACGGCUCAACCGUGGAAUUGCCCUUGAUACUGCUGGACUUGAGUUCGGGAGAGGGUAGUGGAAUUCCAGGUGUAGGAGUGAAAUCCGUAGAUAUCCGGAGGAACACCGGUGGCGAAGGCGGCCACCUGGACAGGUACUGACACUGAGGAGCGAAAGCGUGGGGAGC